UCCUUUGUGCAGUGGCAGUAUCAUAGGCAAUGAGGUCAAGCUGAGGCCUGAUUAUUACUAGUUGAAAACUUGUCCCUAUUCCUGCUCAUUUCACGUUCUUAAAGCAUGAAUGCAUUUGUCCUCUCAAAAGG
rnacentral:snRNA from 1 species